AACGAACGCUGGCGGCAUGCCUAACACAUGCAAGUCGAACGAGACCUUCGGGUCUAGUGGCGCACGGGUGCGUAACGCGUGGGAAUCUGCCCUUAGGUUCGGAAUAACUCAGGGAAACUUGAGCUAAUACCGGAUGAUGACUUCGGUCCAAAGAUUUAUCGCCUGAGGAUGAGCCCGCGUAGGAUUAGCUUGUUGGUGAGGUAAAGGCUCACCAAGGCGACGAUCCUUAGCUGGUCUGAGAGGAUGAUCAGCCACACUGGGACUGAGACGCGGCCCAGACUCCUACGGGAGGCAGCAGUGGGGAAUAUUGGACAAUGGGCGCAAGCCUGAUCCAGCAAUGCCGCGUGAGUGAUGAAGGCCUUAGGGUUGUAAAGCUCUUUUACCCGGGAUGAUAAUGACCGUACCGGGAGAAUAAGACUCCGGCUAACUCCGUGCCAGCAGCCGCGGUAAUACGGAGGGAGCUAGCGUUGUUCGGAAUUACUGGGCGUAAAGCGACG
rnacentral:rRNA from 1 species